rnacentral:rRNA from 1 species
UACGGGGGGAGCAAGCGUUGUUCGGAAUCACUGGGCGUAAAGGGCGUGUAGGCGGCCAAAUAAGUGAUAUGUGAAAUGCCUCGGCUCACCCGAGGCACUGCAUUUCAUACUGUUUGGCUUGAGUACGGGAGAGGAUGGGGGAAUUCCUGGUGUAGCGGUGAAAUGCGUAGAUAUCAGGAGGAACACCAGUGGCGAAGGCGCCCAUCUGGCCCGAUACUGACGCUGAGGCGCGAAAGCUAGGGGAGCGAACGGG